GCCUCUGUCACUUUGUCUCGUACCAAUUAAAGUACUCGUCCUUGGUCUUGGGGAUUGAAUUGAAUUCGAUUCCCACUCGUGUUUUAGAUUAAAACUCUAUGCAAUCGAUUUGCAAUUAUUAUUGACUGGUGAGAUAAAAGAUACUUGAUGAGAAAUGUUGACACGUGCGAAACUUCUCCGUGCCCAGGACCUAGAAGUUCUCUAUGCCACAACUGUGGAACAUAGCACCGCACACUGGCGACGACGAGCACGAACGCAACCCAAAUAAUUCAGAGACAGAUGCUGAAGAAAGGGAAGAUACCGAAACUUAAUGAUUCUGAAUAGAAAAUAAUAUUGGAAAAGUUUUAAAUUGUAUAUAUCAUUUUACCGCAAAUUAC